rnacentral:lncRNA from 1 species
UAUAUAUAUGAAAUCAAGGGCCUCUAUGCAUUUGCAUCAAUUAGUGAAUUUAAAGAUGAGCAGCUCUUCCUCUUUAGCUCCGAGUCCCAAAAGGUAAGCCUAGUUUUAACCCCUCUUCAUUUGGUGUCUAAAUUUCUAACCUUUUUCUUCAUCAUCUUCUAAAUGUUUGAACAUCAAUUUUGCAGGUUGGAAGGCAAAGUGGCAAUAAUCACUGGAGGAGCUAGCGGCAUUGGAGAGAGCACUGUAAGAUUGUUUGUCCAGCAUGGUGCCAAAGUCAUCAUAGCCGAUGUCCAAGACGAACUUUCUCUGUCCCUCUGCAAAGAACUUGACCCGGAUGAAGAAUCCGUUUGCUACACCCGUUGCGAUGUCAAGUUUGAAUCUGAUGUGAAAAAUGUAGUGGAUUUGGCUCUGUCCAAGUAUGGCAAGCUUGACAUCAUGUACAACAAUGCCGGCAUACCGGGCAACUUGGAGCCAACAAUUUUAAGCGCUGGUGCCGAAAACUUCAAACAAGUGUUUGAUGUGAAUGUGUACGGAGCUUUCUUGGGCGCCAAGCAUGCUGCUAGGGCUAUGAUCCCUGCCAAGAAAGGUGUCAUUUUGUUCACUUCAAGCGUAGCAUCCGCGAGCUGCGGUGAGUCUCCACACGCUUACACCAUGUCGAAGCAUGCGGUGGUGGGACUUAUGAAGAGCUUGUGUGUGGAGCUGGGGCAGCAUGGGAUCAGAGUCAACUGCAUUUCUCCAUGUGCCAUGGCAACUCCAUUGCUAAGAAAUGUUAUGGGGAUGGAGAGAGAUGCGGUGGAGGAGCUGAUUUGUGCUGCGGCGGUGUUGAAAGGGGCGGUGCCUAGGGCAGAGGAUGUGGCGGAAGCUGCGGUGUACUUGGCAAGUGAGGAGUCUAAGUUUGUAAAUGGACUGAACCUUCUUGUGGAUGGAGGUUAUAGCACCACUAAUCAAUCUUUUAGUAUGGUUUUGAGAAAUUUGAUGUCCUCAAACCAAGUUUUGUAA